rnacentral:rRNA from 1 species
UACGUAGGGGGCAAGCGUUAUCCGGAUUUACUGGUGUAAAGGGGGCGCAGACGGCGAUGCAAGCCAGGAGUGAAAGCCCGGGGCCCAACCCCGGGACUGCUCUUGGAACUGCGUAGCUGGAGUGCAGGAGGGGCAGGCGGAAUUCCUGGUGUAGCGGUGAAAUGCGUAGAUAUCAGGAGGAACACCGGUGGCGAAGGCGGCCUGCUGGACUGCAACUGACGUUGAGGCCCGAAAGCGUGGGGAGCAAACAGG